ensembl:lncRNA
AAAGUUUUCGGGAAGACGGAGGAUGAGAGGAAUAAAAAACAGUCAGAAAAAGACUGAAAAGACAGCAGGGAGCUUGAGUUUGGUUUGACGGAAGAGAUUUGAGAUGAAUGCACUGAAGUGACUGAGCAAAAGGUCUCAUCCUUCUCUUCAGGCUGCAGGUGGCGGGCAUUUUGGAGAGAGAGAGAGAGAGAGAGAGGAAAGGGAAGAAGAAGAAGAAGGCAGGGAGGGGAAGAGGAGGACGAGGCGAGGAGGGGGAGGCGUGUGUUCAAAAUCCACAAAGGUUUUGUAAUAAAUGCAUCGGCGACAAUAAAAACA